ACUCCUACGGGAGGCACAGUGGGGGAAUAUUGCACAAUGGGCGCAAGCCUGAUGCAGCCAUGCCGCGUGUAUGAAGAAGGCCUUCGGGUUGUAAAGUACUUUCAGCAGUGAGGAAGGUGGGUGUGUUAAUAGCAUACUCAUUUGACGUUAGCUGCAGAAGAAGCACCGGCUAACUCCGUGCCAGCAGCCGCGGUAAUACGGAGGGUGCGAGCGUUAAUCGGAAUUACUGGGCGUAAAGCGCAUGCAGGUGGUUUGUUAAGUCAGAUGUGAAAGCCCGGGGCUCAACCUCGGAAUUGCAUUUGAAACUGGCAAACUAGAGUACUGUAGAGGGGGGUAGAAUUUCAGGUGUAGCGGUGAAAUGCGUAGAGAUCUGAAGGAAUACCGGUGGCGAAGGCGGCCCCCUGGACAGAUACUGACACUCAGAUGCGAAAGCGUGGGGAGCAAACAGGAUUAGAUACCCUGGUAGCUACGAGU
rnacentral:rRNA from 1 species